rnacentral:rRNA from 1 species
UUGUGCUUGCACAGAUGACGACCGGCGCACGGGUGCGUAACGCGUAUAGAACCUACCUUUUACAGAGGAAUAGCCUUUAGAAAUGAAGAUUAAUGCCUCAUGGUAUUGUAGACUGGCAUCAGUUUAUAAUUAAAGAUUUAUCGGUAAAAGAUGGCUAUGCGUCCUAUUAGUUAGUUGGUAAGGUAACGGCUUACCAAGACAGCGAUAGGUAGGGGUCCUGAGAGGGAGAUCCCCCACACUGGUACUGAGACACGGACCAGACUCCUACGGGAGGCAGCAGUGAGGAAUAUUGGACAAUGGAGGAGACUCUGAUCCAGCCAUGCCGCGUGUAGGAAGAAUGCCCUAUGGGUUGUAAACUACUUUUAUACAGGAAGAAACACUGGUAUGUAUACCAGCUUGACGGUACUGUAAGAAUAAGGACCGGCUAACUCCGUGCCAGCAGCCGCGGUAAUACGGAGGGUCCGAGCGUUAUCCGGAAUCAUUGGGUU